AGGGAAUCUUGCGCAAUGGACGGGAGUCCGACGCAGCGACGCCGCGUGGGUGAAGACGGCCUUCGGGUUGUAAAGCCCUUUUCUGGGGGAAGAGAGAGGACGGUACUCCAGGAAUAAGUGUCGGCUAACUACGUGCCAGCAGCCGCGGUAAUACGUAGGACACGAGCGUUAUCCGGAUUUACUGGGCGUAAAGCGCCUGUAGGCGGUUCUUCAAGUCGUCUGUGAAAGCCCUGGGCUCAACCUGGGGAGGCCAAGCGAUACUGGAGGACUUGAGGGUGACAGAGGGGAGUGGAAUUUCCGGUGUAGCGGUAAAAUGCGCAGAUAUCGGGAGGAACACCAGUGGCGAAGGCGGCUCCCUGGGUCACCCCUGACGCUGAGAGGCGAAAGCUAGGGGAGCAAACAG
rnacentral:rRNA from 1 species